AGAGUUUGAUCAUGGCUCAGAUGAACGCUGGCGGCAGGCCUAAUACAUGCAAGUCGAACGGCAGCACAGCAGAGCUUGCUCUGUGGGUGGCGAGUGGCGGACGGGUGAGGAAUACGUGGGAAUCUGCCCAGUCGUGGGGGAUAACGUAGGGAAACUUACGCUAAUACCGCAUGCGCCCUUCGGGGGAAAGCCGGGGACCUUCGGGCCUGGCGCGAUUGGAUGAGCCCACGUCGGAUUAGCUAGUUGGCGGGGUAAAGGCCCACCAAGGCGACGAUCCGUAGCUGGGUCUGAGAGGAUGAUCAGCCACACUGGAACUGAGACACGGUCCAGACUCCUACGGGAGGCAGCAGUAGGGAAUAUUGGACAAUGGGCGCAGGCCUGAUCCAGCCAUGCCGCGUGAGUGAAGAAGGCCCUCGGGUUGUAAAGCUCUUUUGUCCGGAAAGAAAAGCGCCGGGUUAAUACCCUGGUGUCCUGACGGUACCGGAAGAAUAAGCACCGGCUAACUUCGUG
rnacentral:rRNA from 1 species